GGUUGAGCUCCUCUGUCGCAUUGCCAGUGAGCAUGCUGGUGUCUGUAUACAAUAUGAGGAUGACAUAUUGAUUUAUUUGGAUGAUUUUGAUGUACAUGUUGUAGUCGUGCUUGCUCCACUGUAGGUCAAUGUUUUGCAGAAAAUUGUCGAUGUCAAGGUACCAAGCUCUGCCCGAUUGUUUUAGACCAUAAAUUGCUUUUCAAAGCUUGCUAACCAGGUGUUUGUGACCUGGUUCAAUGAAACCAUGUGGUUGCGCCAUGAAAACUACUUUGAUGAUGGUACCAUUCAGUGCCGAGGCGCUGCUGGAAUUCUCUGGCAACAAGGCGGGUCUUAAGCUUUUCAGUCUUGUUGUUGGUGGACACUUUGGUGCGGAACACCCAUUUUGAUGUGACCGGGUGCUUGCAUGUUGGAUCUUGCACUUGGUGAGGUGGUAGAAUCAGUUGGCCUUCGAUGCCUGAUUGUAACCUUCCAUCAUGCACAAUUCUACAUUGUUCCGUUGUUUGGCUUUGUAGGGGUGACGUUCACGAGGUAAAUUACGGUGCUGAUUGCUUCUGGCCAGAAUGUGGCAAGCAGGUGCGCUGCUAUUGCCAUUUUUUGGGUUUUGACAAAGAUUUUCCAGUUCAUUCUUCCGGCUACUCCAUUAUAGUAAGGAGUGUGUAGGGCGGUGAGUUGCCUUUUGAUCCCUUCCUGUUCGCAAAAUGCUAGGAAAUCCUUGGAUACAAAUUUCCCUCCCCUAUUGGUUCUAAGGAUUUGGAUCUUGUGUUGGUUUCUGUUCUCUAUAUGUGCCCUGAAGCUUUUGAAUUCAACGUAAACAUGACAAUACAUCCUUUGUUUGUGAUCAUGCCGACUGAUAGAAGAUUUUUACAAACUCCGGGCACGUGAAGUGCCCUUAAUACGUCUUUGAUUGAGUUUUCGUAUCGCGCUUGUGCCGUACCUUCUCCUCGCACUGCAUGUUCUUGUCCCGCUACGGAUUUUACCUUGGUGUGUGAUGUAUUGGCUUGUAUGGUGCGGAGAUUGGACUUGAAUCUAGUAACGUGAAUGGUAGCGCCACUGUCGAAGUACCAAUGCUCGACAUCGCAAUCAAGAUUGAGCGCCAACAUUGCAACGUUAUAGAAGAGUGUCUGUUGCAUAGGUUCUCAAAGGUGGGAAGUUGUUCUUGCCCCACAACUACUUGGAUGAAGCCCUCGUAGCUCAGUGGUAGCGCGCUGAGCGUCAGGUGGACCAACCUAGGGUCCUGGAUUUCUUCUCCAAUGGUUUGAAGCUCGAGUAAUGUCUCUCGCACACGCCGUAUGAAUUCUUCAACGGGCGUUCCUUCCUUCAUUCUCAAGGUGUGGAGUGUGUUAAGUAGCUGCAUCGUGUGUGCCGUGUUUUGGCCUUCGUACAUUGAGUGAAGGAUCUUCCAUAGUUUUGCUGGGUCGGUGCAUUCUGCUAUAUGGUGAAUAACGCUAUCCUUUACUUACAUGAUAAUAAUUGCCAUUGCUUUGUACUUGUCGCGUUCCUUUACAAUUUGUACAUCCAAGGAUUUAAGGUCAACGGUAAUUGCUUCACCUUCCUGAGUUGGGCUGGUUUGGAGCAGUUGCUAGAGGCCCUUGUGUUGCAUCAACGUCCAUAUCCUUAUCUUCCAUACUUAGAAAUUAGAAAUGCCUUCCAACUUCGUCGACUUUGGCAUAGUGAAGCUGUCUUUUUGACUGAUGUUGUGGUGGUCUUUUGUCUCUAGUAUUUUCGCUCCUAGUUUGGCUCUUUAUUCUAAUGCUGUUGGAAGCUAUGUCUUGAGCGAUUUGCCAUUCCUUGUGGUCUAUACUUUUCUCCAUCUUCCUGAGAUCUUCAGCACUUGUCGUUAGUUUGUAACAUCUAUUCGAGUGCUAAAGAAACUGUCUUUCUUCACAAGACUGUUUUCUUUAGACUAAAAUCCUGCUUUGAUAUUAUAUGAGAGUAACAAACACAUUCUCAUUGCUCAAAUGCAGAAUGAAAGCUUUGA